CGGUUGAGAUCUAAUCACCCCUUAGUAUAUAAAGAAACCUCAUUUACAAAAAAAAAGAAAGAAAAAGAGGAAAAGAGAGGGAAGAAAGGGAGAAGAACCGAGAGGAAUGAGGGAUGUAACUACUAAAAUUUGGCUAAGAGAUUGAAGAGAAAUUCUGUUGAAUUAGAGAAAGAUGAAAACCAAAUGUAAAUGAAUUUUGAACUUAAAAUUUUGUGUUGGUAAUGUAUG
rnacentral:lncRNA from 1 species